rnacentral:rRNA from 1 species
CCUACGGGCGGCAGCAGUGGAGAAUAUUGGACAAUGGGCGAAAGCCUGAUCCAGCCAUGCCGCGUGUGUGAAGAAGGCCUUCGGGUUGUAAAGCACUUUCAGUGGGGAAGAAAGCCUUGGGGCUAAUACCCUCGAGGAAGGACAUCACCCACAGAAGAAGCACCGGCUAACUCCGUGCCAGCAGCCGCGGUAAUACGGAGGGUGCGAGCGUUAAUCGGAAUUACUGGGCGUAAAGCGCGCGUAGGCGGUCUGAUAAGCCGGUUGUGAAAGCCCCGGGCUCAACCUGGGAACGGCAUCCGGAACUGUCAGGCUAGAGUGCAGGAGAGGAAGGUAGAAUUCCCGGUGUAGCGGUGAAAUGCGUAGAGAUCGGGAGGAAUACCAGUGGCGAAGGCGGCCUUCUGGACUGACACUGACGCUGAGGUGCGAAAGCGUGGGUAGCAAACAGGAUUAGAUACCCUUGUAGUC